AUUGGGAUAUUUUAAAGGGACACUAAAGGAAAAUAUUAAGUCGAGCUAUAUCAAUAGAUGAUUCGUCUAGAAGUCUAUCAUCAUUUUCUGUGUGCCAAUAUAUCAAUUUGUUGUGUAGAAAAUUCUCACCGAAGGCCCCAUUAC
rnacentral:lncRNA from 1 species